GGAGGUGAGGGUGAUCUAGCUGGCUAGGUGGUAUCCCCUUCCUCCCUCAGUGCUCCAUGUGAGGUGCUGUGGAAAGCUGUGUGCUCAAAGAGGAUAACCUUCCCCGAUAGAGCCCAUUCUUCAGUCAAGGGUAUACUAGUACCUGCGCUCCCCUAUUAGAACCUCCAAACAAGCUCUCAAGGUCCAAGGGGGACUGGUUCCAGGAACCCCUUGCAGAUACUUAGGGAAAAUAACCUACACAUAUCUUUCCAUAA
rnacentral:snRNA from 1 species